GGGCGAUCUGGCUGCGACAUCUGUCACCCCAUUGAUCGCCAGGGUUGAUUCGGCUGAUUUCGCUGGCUACGCUGGUGUCCCCACUCUCCAUGUAUGUCUCUCCUGAAGCUGCGCACUCAGUGGAAGAGGACACCCAUCCCAGACAGAAGGAGUGUACCAUUCUUCGGUCAACGGUAUACGAUAGCUGCGUUCCCCUGCUAGAACCUCCAAACAAGCUCAAGGUCCGCAUUAACCCUCCUUUAACCUAAGAAGAGAGGGACGCGGGUGGCGCUGUGGGUUAAACCACAGAGCCUAGGACUUGCCGAUUGGAAGUUCG